GACCUCUCAACCGCUUUGGUAUUCGAUUACAAAAGUCGGCUUGGAACGUGGGUGCCGGCAGUACGUCUCGCGACGUGCGCCCACCCGAAAGUCAAUUUGGGCCAAUCGCGCGAGCGACGGUUUGACCAAAGUGUUGUAAGGUUCGCCUCGCUUUGGGACGUCGCCCUGUGUCACCCGGCGCUAAUACGCAUACGAUACUAUAUGA
rnacentral:misc_RNA from 1 species